AUGCAGUGAAAGACUUUUAUCUCAAAUGAAGUGUUCCUCUUAGGGGUGUGGCAGGCGGUGGCUGUAAACAGCAGCCACCUUGGGAGUGGAUGCAGCCUGUUGCCUCUAUGGGUUUCCCUAAAGGAUCUUGAAGACACGG